rnacentral:rRNA from 1 species
GAUGAACGCUGGCGGCGUGCCUAAUACAUGCAAGUCGAGCGAAUGGAUUAAGAGCUUGCUCUUAUGAAGUUAGCGGCGGACGGGUGAGUAACACGUGGGUAACCUGCCCAUAAGACUGGGAUAACUCCGGGAAACCGGGGCUAAUACCGGAUAACAUUUUGAACCGCAUGGUUCGAAAUUGAAAGGCGGCUUCGGCUGUCACUUAUGGAUGGAACCGCGUCGCAUUAGCUAGUUGGUGAGGUAACGGCCCACGAAGGCAACGAUGCGUAGCCGACCUGAGAGGGUGAGCGGCCACACUGGGACUGAGACACGGCCCAGACUCCUACGGGAGGCAGCAGUAGGGAAUCUUCCGCAAUGGACGAAAGUCUGACGGAGCAACGCCGCGUGAGUGAUGAAGGCUUUCGGGUCGUAAAACUCUGUUGUUAGGGAAGAACAAGUGCUAGUUGAAUAAGCUGGCACCUUGACGGUACCUAACCAGAAAGCCACGGCUAACUACGUGCCAGCAGCCGCGGUAA